GCCCGGCUAGCUCAGUUGGUAGAGCAUGAGACUCUUAAUGUAUUGGUCGUGGGUUCGAGCCACACGUUGGGCG